AACCAUAGAAACCUGCGGAGUACCUGCGGAGGAUCAUUAUAGUAUAUGGAAUCUCCAUUCUAUAAACCCACUCUGCGUAUCUUGUAACUGUUGCUUCCAUGGGACUUGGUUCCGCCACACCGGCUUCACGGCUGGUGAGCGCCCAUGGAAGGAGAAACAAAACUCUUCUUUGAAAUGUAGUCAGUCUGAACAAGUUUUUAUAAACGUUAAAACUUUUAACAACGGAUCUCAGAUCGGAAG
rnacentral:misc_RNA from 1 species